CAUUUAACAGGGUUCACUGAGCAGCACUAAUCAGUUAAUGAAGACGUUGUAUGUUUCAUGAAUAUGGCUCUGUAGUGGACUGGUGGAGCUGCUGAUGUCUGUUGCUGGCUGACAAUAAAGUGAUCUCUUUGGACUUACCUCAUCUUUUGAAGAAAUCCGAGCCUUGCUCCUGAUCCUGCUGUGCUGGACGGUAU